rnacentral:rRNA from 1 species
AACGAACGCUGGCGGCGUGCCUAACACAUGCAAGUCGAACGAGAAAGGGGCUUCGGCUCCGAGUAAAGUGGCGCACGGGUGAGUAACACGUGGGUAACCUGCCUCUAAGAUUGGGAUAACUCGUCGAAAGAUGAGCUAAUACCGAAUAAGACCACAGUUCCUGCGGGAACAGAGGUCAAAGGUAGCCUCUGCAUGCAAGCUAUCACUUAGAGAUGGGCCUGCGCACCAUUAGCUAGUUGGUAGGGUAAAGGCCUACCAAGGCAAAGAUGGUUAGCUGGUCUGAGAGGAUGAUCAGCCACACUGGAACUGAGACACGGUCCAGACUCCUACGGGAGGCAGCAGUGGGGAAUAUUGCGCAAUGGGCGAAAGCUUGACGCAGCAACGCCGCGUGAGUGAUGAAGGCCUUCGGGUCGUAAAGCUCUGUCGGGAGGAACGAAUGCUCCUGAGGUUAACAGCCUCGGGAGGUGACGGUACCUUCAAAGGAAGCACCGGCUAACUCUGUGCCAGCCGCCGCCGUAAAAC